rnacentral:rRNA from 1 species
GAUGAACGCUGGCGGCGUGCCUAAUACAUGCAAGUAGAACGCUGAAGGAGGAGCUUGCUCUUCUGGAUGAGUUGCGAACGGGUGAGUAACGCGUAGGUAACCUGCCUGGUAGCGGGGGAUAACUAUUGGAAACGAUAGCUAAUACCGCAUGACAACAGUUAUUGCAUGAUAACUGUUUAAAAGGGGCAACUGCUCCACUACCAGAUGGACCUGCGUUGUAUUAGCUAGUUGGUGAGGUAACGGCUCACCAAGGCGACGAUACAUAGCCGACCUGAGAGGGGGAUCGGCCACACUGGGACUGAGACACGGCCCAGACUCCUACGGGAGGCAGCAGUAGGGAAUCUUCGGCAAUGGACGGAAGUCUGACCGAGCAACGCCGCGUGAGUGAAGAAGGGUUUCGGAUCGUAAAGCUCUGUUGUAAGAGAAGAACGAGUGUGAGAGUGGAAAGUUCACACUGUGACGGUAGCUGAACAGAAAGGGACGGCUAACUACGUG